rnacentral:rRNA from 1 species
GACAGAGGAUCCAAGCGUUAUCCGGAAUCAUUGGGUUUAAAGGGUCCGUAGGCGGUUUUGUAAGUCAGUGGUGAAAGCCCAUCGCUCAACGGUGGAACGGCCAUUGAUACUGCAAGACUUGAAUUAUUAGGAAGUAACUAGAAUAUGUAGUGUAGCGGUGAAAUGCUUAGAGAUUACAUGGAAUACCAAUUGCGAAGGCAGGUUACUACUAAUGGAUUGACGCUGAUGGACGAAAAGCGUGGGGAGCGAACAGG